GUACUGCCAAUUUAGCUGGUCAUGUUCCUUUCCUCAUGAGAGCCUUGUGUGCAGUGUCGCCAAGCUACUGCCCCUUCUUGGAAGUGUGUGCAGCCUGUUGCUUGAAUGUGUUGCCCUCCGAGACCUUGGGGACAGUU
ensembl:snoRNA SNORA70 Small nucleolar RNA SNORA70